rnacentral:rRNA from 1 species
AGAGUUUGAUCAUGGCUCAGAACGAACGCUGGCGGCAGGCUUAACACAUGCAAGUCGAACGCCCCGCAAGGGGAGUGGCAGACGGGUGAGUAACGCGUGGGAACGUACCUUUCGGUUCGGAAUAACCCAGGGAAACUUGGGCUAAUACCGGAUACGCCGGAAACGGGAAAGAUUUAUCGCCGAAAGAUCGGCCCGCGUCGGAUUAGCUAGUUGGUGGGGUAAUGGCCUACCAAGGCGACGAUCCGUAGCUGGUCUGAGAGGAUGAUCAGCCACACUGGGACUGAGACACGGCCCAGACUCCUACGGGAGGCAGCAGUGGGGAAUAUUGGACAAUGGGCGAAAGCCUGAUCCAGCCAUGCCGCGUGAGUGAAGAAGGCCUUAGGGUUGUAAAGCUCUUUCAGCGGGGACGAUAAUGACGGUACCCGCAGAAGAAGCCCCGGCUAACUUCGUGCCAGCAGCCGCGGUAAUACGAAGGGGGCUAGCGUUGUUCGGAUUUACUGGGCGUAAAGCGCGCGUAGGCGGACAUCUAAGUCAGGGGUGAAAUCCCAGGGCUCAACCCUGGAACUGCCUUUGAUACUGAAUGUCUGGAGUUCGGGAGAGGUGAGUGGAAUUCCGAGUGUAGAGGUGAAAUUCGUAGAUAUUCGGAGGAACACCAGAAGCGAAGGCGGCUCACUGGCCCGAUACUGACGCUGAGGCGCGAAAGCGUGGGGAGCAAACAGGAUUAGAUACCCUAGUAGUCC